GGUUAAGCGACUAAGCGUACACGGUGGAUGCCCUGGCAGUCAGAGGCGAUGAAGGACGUGCUAAUCUGCGAUAAGCGUCGGUAAGGUGAUAUGAACCGUUAUAACCGGCGAUUUCCGAAUGGGGAAACCCAGUGUGAUUCGUCACACUAUCAUUAACUGAAUCCAUAGGUUAAUGAGGCGAACCGGGGGAACUGAAACAUCUAAGUACCCCGAGGAAAAGAAAUCAACCGAGAUUCCCCCAGUAGCGGCGAGCGAACGGGGAGCAGCCCAGAGCCUGAAUCAGUGUGUGUGUUAGUGGAAGCGUCUGGAAAGGCGCGCGAUACAGGGUGACAGCCCCGUACACAAAAAUGCACAUACUGUGAGCUCGAUGAGUAGGGCGGGACACGUGGUAUCCUGUCUGAAUAUGGGGGGACCAUCCUCCAAGGCUAAAUACUCCUGACUGACCGAUAGUGAACCAGUACCGUGAGGGAAAGGCGAAAAGAACCCCGGCGAGGGGAGUGAAAAAGAACCUGAAACCGUGUACGUACAAGCAGUGGGAGCACAGAGCAAUCUGUGUGACUGCGUACCUUUUGUAUAAUGGGUCAGCGACUUAUAUUCUGUAGCAAGGUUAACCGAAUAGGGGAGCCGAAGGGAAACCGAGUCUUAACUGGGCGUUAAGUUGCAGGGUAUAGACCCGAAACCCGGUGAUCUAGCCAUGGGCAGGUUGAAGGUUGGGUAACACUAACUGGAGGACCGAACCGACUAAUGUUGAAAAAUUAGCGGAUGACUUGUGGCUGGGGGUGAAAGGCCAAUCAAACCGGGAGAUAGCUGGUUCUCCCCGAAAGCUAUUUAGGUAGCGCCUCGUGAAUUCAUCUCCGGGGGUAGAGCACUGUUUCGGCAAGGGGGUCAUCCCGACUUACCAACCCGAUGCAAACUGCGAAUACCGGAGAAUGUUAUCACGGGAGACACACGGCGGGUGCUAACGUCCGUCGUGAAGAGGGAAACAACCCAGACCGCCAGCUAAGGUCCCAAAGUCAUGGUUAAGUGGGAAACGAUGUGGGAAGGCCCAGACAGCCAGGAUGUUGGCUUAGAAGCAGCCAUCAUUUAAAGAAAGCGUAAUAGCUCACUGGUCGAGUCGGCCUGCGCGGAAGAUGUAACGGGGCUAAACCAUGCACCGAAGCUGCGGCAGCGACGCUGAUGCGUUGUUGGGUAGGGGAGCGUUCUGUAAGCCUGUGAAGGUGUGCUGUGAGGCAUGCUGGAGGUAUCAGAAGUGCGAAUGCUGACAUAAGUAACGAUAAAGCGGGUGAAAAGCCCGCUCGCCGGAAGACCAAGGGUUCCUGUCCAACGUUAAUCGGGGCAGGGUGAGUCGACCCCUAAGGCGAGGCCGAAAGGCGUAGUCGAUGGGAAACAGGUUAAUAUUCCUGUACUUGGUGUUACUGCGAAGGGGGGACGGAGAAGGCUAUGUUGGCCGGGCGACGGUUGUCCCGGUUUAAGCGUGUAGGCUGGUUUUCCAGGCAAAUCCGGAAAAUCAAGGCUGAGGCGUGAUGACGAGGCACUACGGUGCUGAAGCAACAAAUGCCCUGCUUCCAGGAAAAGCCUCUAAGCAUCAGGUAACAUCAAAUCGUACCCCAAACCGACACAGGUGGUCAGGUAGAGAAUACCAAGGCGCUUGAGAGAACUCGGGUGAAGGAACUAGGCAAAAUGGUGCCGUAACUUCGGGAGAAGGCACGCUGAUAUGUAGGUGAAGCGACUUGCUCGUGGAGCUGAAAUCAGUCGAAGAUACCAGCUGGCUGCAACUGUUUAUUAAAAACACAGCACUGUGCAAACACGAAAGUGGACGUAUACGGUGUGACGCCUGCCCGGUGCCGGAAGGUUAAUUGAUGGGGUUAGCGCAAGCGAAGCUCUUGAUCGAAGCCCCGGUAAACGGCGGCCGUAACUAUAACGGUCCUAAGGUAGCGAAAUUCCUUGUCGGGUAAGUUCCGACCUGCACGAAUGGCGUAAUGAUGGCCAGGCUGUCUCCACCCGAGACUCAGUGAAAUUGAACUCGCUGUGAAGAUGCAGUGUACCCGCGGCAAGACGGAAAGACCCCGUGAACCUUUACUAUAGCUUGACACUGAACAUUGAGCCUUGAUGUGUAGGAUAGGUGGGAGGCUUUGAAGUGUGGACGCCAGUCUGCAUGGAGCCGACCUUGAAAUACCACCCUUUAAUGUUUGAUGUUCUAACGUUGACCCGUAAUCCGGGUUGCGGACAGUGUCUGGUGGGUAGUUUGACUGGGGCGGUCUCCUCCUAAAGAGUAACGGAGGAGCACGAAGGUUGGCUAAUCCUGGUCGGACAUCAGGAGGUUAGUGCAAUGGCAUAAGCCAGCUUGACUGCGAGCGUGACGGCGCGAGCAGGUGCGAAAGCAGGUCAUAGUGAUCCGGUGGUUCUGAAUGGAAGGGCCAUCGCUCAACGGAUAAAAGGUACUCCGGGGAUAACAGGCUGAUACCGCCCAAGAGUUCAUAUCGACGGCGGUGUUUGGCACCUCGAUGUCGGCUCAUCACAUCCUGGGGCUGAAGUAGGUCCCAAGGGUAUGGCUGUUCGCCAUUUAAAGUGGUACGCGAGCUGGGUUUAGAACGUCGUGAGACAGUUCGGUCCCUAUCUGCCGUGGGCGCUGGAGAACUGAGGGGGGCUGCUCCUAGUACGAGAGGACCGGAGUGGACGCAUCACUGGUGUUCGGGUUGUCAUGCCAAUGGCACUGCCCGGUAGCUAAAUGCGGAAGAGAUAAGUGCUGAAAGCAUCUAAGCACGAAACUUGCCCCGAGAUGAGUUCUCCCUGACUCCUUGAGAGUCCUGAAGGAACGUUGAAGACGACGACGUUGAUAGGCCGGGUGUGUAAGCGCAGCGAUGCGUUGAGCUAACCGGUACUAAUGAACCGUGAGGCUUAACCUU
rnacentral:rRNA from 1 species